rnacentral:rRNA from 1 species
AACCAGACUCCUACGGGAGGCAGCAGUGGGGGAUAUUGCACAAUGGGGGGAACCCUGAUGCAGCGACGCCGCGUGGGUGAAGGAGUAUUUCGGUAUGUAAAGCCCUAUCGGCAGGGAAGAAGCAAGACGGUACCUGACUAAGAAGCCCCGGCUAACUACGUGCCAGCAGCCGCGGUAAUACGUAGGGGGCGAGCGUUAUCCGGAUUUACUGGGUGUAAAGGGAGCGUAGACGGCGAUGCAAGCCAGAUGUGAAAGCCCGGGGCUCAACCCCGGGACUGCAUUUGGAACUGUGUGGCUGGAGUGUCGGAGAGGCAGGCGGAAUUCCUAGUGUAGCGGUGAAAUGCGUAGAUAUUAGGAGGAACACCAGUGGCGAAGGCGGCCUGCUGGACGAUGACUGACGUUGAGGCUCGAAAGCGUGGGGAGCAAACAGGAUUAGAUACCCCGGUA